rnacentral:rRNA from 1 species
AACGAACGCUGGCGGCAGGCCUAACACAUGCAAGUCGAACGCUCCGCAAGGGGAGUGGCGCACGGGUGAGUAACACGUGGGAACCUACCUUCUGGUACGGAACAACCAAGGGAAACUUUGGCUAAGACCGUAUACGACCUCCGGGUGAAAGAUUGAUCGCCGGAAGAGGGGCCCGCGUCCGAUUAGGUAGUUGGUGAGGUAACGGCUCACCAAGCCUUCGAUCGGUAGCUGGUCUGAGAGGAUGACCAGCCACACUGGGACUGAGACACGGCCCAGACUCCUACGGGAGGCAGCAGUGGGGAAUCUUGCGCAAUGGGCGAAAGCCUGACGCAGCGACGCCGCGUGAGGGAUGACGACCU